UACGGGAGGCAGCAGUGGGGAAUAUUGCACAAUGGGCGCAAGCCUGAUGCAGCCAUGCCGCGUGUAUGAAGAAGGCCUUCGGGUUGUAAAGUACUUUCAGUCGUGAGGAAGGUGUUAAGGUUAAUAACCUUAGCAAUUGACGUUAGCGACAGAAGAAGCACCGGCUAACUCCGUGCCAGCAGCCGCGGUAAUACGGAGGGUGCGAGCGUUAAUCGGAAUUACUGGGCUAAAGGGCACGCAGGCGGUUAAUUAAGUUGGAUGUGAAAUCCCCGGGCUUAACCUGGGAAUGGCAUUCAAGACUGGUUAGCUAGAGUCUUGUAGAGGGGGUAGAAUUCCAUGUGUAGCGGUGAAAUGCGUAGAGAUGUGGAGGAAUACCGGUGGCGAAGGCGGCCCCUGGACAAAGGACUGACGCUCGAUGUGCGAAAGCGUGGGGAGCAAACGAGGAUUAGAUACC
rnacentral:rRNA from 1 species